GAAAUUUAUCAAUCAAAUAAAAUGAGUAGUUGUUCCACAAGAUGUAAGACAUUCAACAAGCAUAGUGGAAGAAGUGAUAAGAGAUUGGUUAACACUUUUCCAGGAAAUUGCAGCACAAGCCAACAUAAAACGCAUAAAGAACCACAUUUUUAGUCAUCCAGACACCCACUAACAACUGAAUCAGGAUAGCCUUUUAUUACAAAUUCAUCAACCUGACUGAAAACAAGCACAAAAUCUCUAGUAUGCUUCAAACAACGCAUUACUUUCUUUGCAGCCAUCUAAAGAUCCCAAUCAGGAUUAGACAUGUGCCUACCAAAAACACUGACAGCGAAGGAUAUGUGUGGCUUUUUGAAUAUCAUAAAAUGUACCAAACUCCCUACAGCACUAGCAUAAGGACAUUAUUCUUUUCAACUUUAUUCUUGGGAUACUUAGACUUACUAUACUUAUCCCUUUUAGUCAUGAGAACAUGCCACAGUUUACAAUUCUCCAUUUAAAAAAUUUCAGUAAUUGUCAAUAUAAGCCUUUUAGGAAAGCCCUUGAGCAUUUCAAGACUUGUCCCUAUUGAUCUCAAUUCCAAGCAUAAAAGAUGCUUCUCCUAAUGCAAUGUCAGACGUGUAACUUGGAAAACGGCAAUAAUAAGGAGUUUGUUGCUCACUUAAUUAAAUUUUAGAGAGUUUUAUGUUACAUUU
rnacentral:misc_RNA from 1 species